GGUAGUCUCGCACAGAUGCAUAUCAAUAAGCGGAGGAAAAGAAACUAACUAGGAUUCCCUCAGUAACGGCGAGUGAAGCGGGAAGAGCUCAAAUUUGAAAUCUUCAAGGUUCUACCUUGACGAAUUGUAGUUUAAAGAAGUGUUUUCUGUUGGAGUUUUGGUAAAAGUUCUUUGGAAUAGGACAUCAUAGAGGGUGAGAAUCCCGUAUUUGACCAUUAUUUCCAGCUUUGUGAUACACUUUCAAAGAGUCGGAUUGUUUGGGAAUGCAGUCCAAAAUGGGUGGUAAAUUUCAUCUAAAGCUAAAUACUGGCGAGAGACCGAUAGCGAACAAGUACCGUGAGGGAAAGAUGAAAAGAACUUUGAAAAGAGAGUUAAACAGUACGUGAAAUUGUCAAAAGGGAGGCGUUUGACACCAGUGUUGUUUUCUCGAAAAUCAAUUAAAAAAGGCAGGAUUUUGUGUUGCAUUGACUUUAUCAGCUUUCUGCACUCUUUUCUUGUCUUUUUUAAUGCACUUUUCGUUUAACAAGUCUACAUCAAUUUCUUUUGUUGUAAAAGGGUCAUUGGAAGGUGGCUUUCUUUUCGGAGAAAGUGUUUAUAGCCUUUGGCCUCUGCAAUCGGAGUAGAUUGAGGUCUGCAGCGUAGAUCCUUCGGGGUUAGAUACAUUUGUGCUAAGUUAUAGCCUUUCAUAGACAACUUGUUGACUAUGAUCAGUCAUGUAGCUUACUCGCUUAUGCUAUUUUACCUACGCUUAGGAUGUUGAAGUCAUCGUAUCGCGC
rnacentral:rRNA from 1 species